rnacentral:lncRNA from 1 species
UUAGUUUGGAGAUCUGAUAAUCCUAUUCCUUUAAAAAUAAGGUUACAUUUUUUUUUUUUUCUAUUUUCAGAGGCAUAUGAAGGUGCAUUGUAGCAAGAAUGGAGAUGUUCUAAUGGAGAAUAAUUUGUUCUUCUGAUGAAAGUAUUUUCUAGUUCAUCUCAUGUGAACUGAGUGUCUGUUAACAGCAUUAGCAGACUUUUGUUCUUGUGCACAUCAGGAGCUCAAGUGACGCCACUGAAACCCUGGCAUUUAUCACAGACAAAAUUAGGUCAGAAGAGAGCAGAGGUACUGAACUGAAAAGAGAUAAAUUCAUCCUUAGAAGGAAAAAAAAAGUCUCAAGCUGCAAACUUGAGUUUAAUUUGUCUCCUCCACAUAAGACGGAUCUAACAACGCAGUCUGGGCUCCGUGCCAAAGGCUGGUAUUUCACAGCAGCGACCGCCUUACAGAUGAGCUGUGGGAAGCAGGAGGGAGACUCUCUUAGGGUGCCACUACUAUGGAGACACAGCUGGGCUGAACAAGAUUUGCUUCAAACGACAACAAGAGAGACAGAAAGUGUCUGGUUCGACCGCUGCCCAAGCAGGCAGUAA